GAUGAACGCUAGCGGCAGGCCUAACACAUGCAAGUCGAGGGAGAAGCCUUCGGGCUAAAACCGGCGCACGGGUGCGUAACGCGUAUACAAUCUGCCUUUUAUCCGGGGGAUAGCCCGAAGAAAUUUGGAUUAAUACCCUAUGGUAUAAGAGCACGGCAUCGUGCACUUAUUAAAGCUACGGCGGUAAAAGAUGAGUAUGCGUUCUAUUAGCUAGUUGGAGAGGUAACGGCUCCCCAAGGCGACGAUAGAUAGGGGUUCUGAGAGGGAUGUCCCCCACACUGGUACUGAGAUACGGACCAGACUCCUACGGGAGGCAGCAGUGAGGAAUAUUGGACAAUGGUCGGAAGACUGAUCCAGCCAUGCCGCGUGCAGGAUGACGGCCUUAUGGGUUGUAAACUGCUUUUGUAAGGGAAGAAUAAGAGCUACGCGUAGUUUGAUGACGGUACCUUACGAAUAAGCAUCGGCUAACUCCGUGCCAGCAGCCGCGGUAAUACGGAGGAUGCGAGCGUUAUCCGGAAUCAUUGGGUUUAAAGGGUCCGUAGGCGGGCUAAUAAGUCAGGGGUGAAAUCGUUCAGCUCAACUGAGCAACUGCCUUUGAAACUGUUAGUCUUGAAUAGUUGUGAAGUAGUUGGAAUGUGUAGUGUAGCGGUGAAAUGCUUAGAGAUUACACAGAACACCGAUAGCGAAGGCAUAUUACUAACAAUUGAUUGACGCUGAUGGACGAAAGCGUGGGGAGCGAACAGG
rnacentral:rRNA from 1 species